rnacentral:rRNA from 1 species
UACGUAGGGUGCGAGCGUUGUCCGGAAUUAUUGGGCGUAAAGAGCUCGUAGGCGGUUUGUUGCGUCUAUCGUGAAAACCUGCGGCUUAACUGUGGGCUUGCGGUGGAUACGGGCAGACUUGAGUUCGGUAGGGGAGACUGGAAUUCCUGGUGUAGCGGUGAAAUGCGCAGAUAUCGGGAGGAACACCGGUGGCGAAGGCGGUUCUCUGGGCCUGACCUGACGCUGAGGAGCGAAAGCGUGGGGAGCAAACAGG